rnacentral:rRNA from 1 species
AGCGAACGCUGGCGGCAGGCUUAACACAUGCAAGUCGAACGGUCCUUCGGGAUAGUGGCGGACGGGUGAGUAACACGUGGGAACGUACCCUUAGGUUCGGAACAACACAGGGAAACUUGUGCUAAUACCGGAUAAGCCCUUCGGGGGAAAGAUUUAUCGCCUUUGGAGCGGCCCGCGUCUGAUUAGCUUGUUGGUGAGGUAAUGGCUCACCAAGGCUACGAUCAGUAGCUGGUCUGAGAGGAUGGCCAGCCACACUGGGACUGAGACACGGCCCAGACUCCUACGGGAGGCAGCAGUGGGGAAUCUUGCGCAAUGGGCGAAAGCCUGACGCAGCCAUGCCGCGUGGAUGAUGAAGGUCUUAGGAUUGUAAAAUCCUUUCACCGGGGACGAUAAUGACGGUACCCGGAGAAGAAGCCCCGGCUAACUUCGUGCCAGCAGCCGCCGCAG